UAACACUUCACCGUAUAACCUCAGCAGUCCUAGGCUGCACCUUCCCUCGUAGCAGGCGGCCUGUGCUUAUGUCAUCUGUGUCUUCCAACUUAAAGGUGAAGCCACCUGUUCAUGAACAGAUUCCCUCCGCUCAGACUAAGGAUGAAAUGCAAGAUGUUUAACAGGCACAAUACAGGGGAGAUCACGACCACUGAGCAAAAUGCAAGCAGUAACAGCCUUCUGAGACAACGUCACCCUGCCUGUGGUUUUCAUCUGGCCUGCAGGACCAUCUCGCCUGUCCACCCACAGUGCCGACAGCUGGUGCUGAAUACUGGAGAAGCGAUGUGACAGACCCCAUGGUAUAACAAGUUUUCCUCAUGGGGGUUAGAGGAGGAAUAUAAAGUCUGCAAAUGGAUACUCCCUGGAUUUCCACUAAAUGAGAAAAUGCCCAGAGAGGGGAGACACAAUUGAGAUCUCAUUCCAACCAAUGAAUAUUCUUUCCUGAGGUUAAAAAUUUAUGCUGGAGUUUUCGGCACCGACUGUACUGCCUGUUCCCCGUCCACCCUUCUCCCUCGCCGGUGUCCUCAGCUGCGGAGUGGAAGCAAGAAGAGGCACGUGGGGGACAGACUGGGACAAACCUGGUCCCCCGCUCUCCUGGCCCGGUGGGCCUGUCAUGGCGGCCCGGCGACAGCUCUCCGCUAGCAGAGCAAGAAGAAUGAAAAGGUCUCGGGGGUCAGGGCUGCCCAGACCCCCGUCCCGCCUGCGCCCUGCCAGGCUCGCCCCGAGGGAGCGCCGGAUCACAUGGAUCCCGCCUCCCGCGACGUGGAUCCGCCCCGACCUCCGGCUCAGCCUCGCGCUCCGGCGCCCACCUGGGAAGCCGGCGGCCGGAGCCUCGGGAGCCGGCAGCCAGGCCCCCGCGCGGGCGGCGCGGGCCCCCAGCCAGCGCCCCCCGGCCCCCCCGGAGG
rnacentral:lncRNA from 1 species